AUUGAACGCUGGCGGCAGGCUUUACAUAUGCAAGUCGAUCGGCAGCACGGACUUCGGUCUGGUGGCGAGUGGCGAACGGGUGAGUAAUGUAUCGGAACGUGCCCAGUCGUGGGGAUAACGUAGUGAAAAUUACGCUAAUACCGCAUACGAUCUAUGGAUGAAAGCGGGGGAUCGCAAGACCUCGCGCGAUUGGAGCGGCCGAUAUCAGAUUAGGUAGUUGGUGGGGUAAAGGCUCACCAAGCCAACGAUCUGUAGCUGGUCUGAGAGGACGACCAGCCACACUGGAACUGAGACACGGUCCAGACUCCUACGGGAGGCAGCAGUGGGGAAUUUUGGACAAUGGACGCAAGUCUGAUCCAGCCAUUCCGCGUGCGGGAUGAAGGCCCUCGGGUUGUAAACUGCUUUUGUACGGAACGAAAAGGUCUCUCUUAAUACGGGGGACUCAUGACGGUACCGUAAGAAUAAGCACCGGCUAACUACGUGCCAGCCGCCGCCGUAA
rnacentral:rRNA from 1 species